GCGGAAGUAGUUCAGUGGUAGAACACCACCUUGCCAAGGUGGGGGUCGCGGGUUCGAGUCCCGUCUUCCGCUUCA
rnacentral:tRNA from 4 species